CCUACGGGCGGCAGUGGGGAAUAUUGGACAAUGGGCGAAAGCCUGAUCCAGCCAUGCCGCGUGUGUGAAGAAGGCCUUCGGGUUGUAAAGCACUUUCAGUGGGGAAGAAAGCCUUGGGGCUAAUACCCUCGAGGAAGGACAUCACCCACAGAAGAAGCACCGGCUAACUCCGUGCCAGCAGCCGCGGUAAUACGGAGGGUGCGAGCGUUAAUCGGAAUUACUGGGCGUAAAGCGCGCGUAGGCGGUCUGAUAAGCCGGUUGUGAAAGCCCCGGGCUCAACCUGGGAACGGCAUCCGGAACUGUCAGGCUAGAGUGCAGGAGAGGAAGGUAGAAUUCCCGGUGUAGCAGUGAAAUGCGUAGAGAUCGGGAGGAAUACCAGUGGCGAAGGCGGCCUUCUGGACUGACACUGACGCUGAGGUGCGAAAGCGUGGGUAGCAAACAGGAUUAGAUACCCGAGUAGUC
rnacentral:rRNA from 1 species